rnacentral:rRNA from 1 species
GAUGAACGCUAGCUAUAGGCUUAACACAUGCAAGUCGAGGGAGCGGCGCACGGGUGAGUCACGCGUAUCACACCUGCCCAUAACUAAGGGAUAACCCAGCGAAAGUUGGACUAAUACCUUAUGGUUAUGGAUGGGUAUGCGUCUGAUUAGCUUGUUGGCGGGGUAACGCCCCACCAAGGCAACGAUCAGUAGGGGUUCGGAGAGGAAGGCCCCUCACAUUGGAACUGUGACACUGGCCAAAGUCCGACGGGAGGCAUCAGUGAGGAAAAUUUGUCAAGGGACGCAAGUCUGAACCAGCCAAGUAGCGGGCUGGAUGACGGCCUAGGGGUUUUAAACUGCUUUUAUAUGGGGAUAGGUACCAUAUGAAUAAGGACCGGCUAAUUCCGGGCCAGCAGCAGCGGUAAUUC